rnacentral:rRNA from 1 species
CGCGUAGGCGGUAUGCCAAGUCAGGGGUGAAAGGCCUGGGCUCAACCCAGGAACUGCCUUUGAAACUGGCAAACUAGAGUCCGAAAGAGGAUGGCGGAAUUCCCAGUGUAGAGGUGAAAUCCGUAGAUAUUGGGAAGAACACCAGUGGCGAAGGCGGCCAUCUGGAUCGGAACUGACGCUGAGGCGCGAAAGCGUGGGGAGCAAACA